GAGUUUGAUCCUGGCUCAGGAUGAACGCUGGCGGAGUGCUUUAUACAUGCAAGUCGAACGGACCUUCGGGUUAGUGGCAAACGGGUGAGUAAUGCAUAGGUAACAUGCCCUUAAGCCUGGGAUAACAUUCUGAAAAGGGUGCUAAUACCGGAUAAUCUUUUAAAAUCGCAUGAUUUUAUAAGCAAAGAUUUAUCGCUUAAGGAUUGGCCUAUGUCUGAUUAGUUUGUUGGUGGGGUAAUGGCCUACCAAGACUACGAUUAGUAGCCGGCCUGAGAGGGUGAACGGCCACACUGGGACUGAGACACGGCCCAGACUCCUACGGGAGGCAGCAGUAGGGAAUAUUGCGCAAUGGGGGAAACCCUGACGCAGCGACUCCGCGUGAGCGAUGAAGUCUUUAGGGAUGUAAAGCUCUGUCAAGAGGGACGAUAAUGACGGUACCUCUAGAGGAAGCCCCGGCUAACUACGUGCCAGCAGCCGCGGUAAUACGUAGGGGGCAAGCGUUAUCCGGAUUUAUUGGGUUUAAAGGGUCCGCAGGCGGACCAGUCAGUCAGUGGUGAAAUCCCAUCGCUCAACGAUGGAACUGCCAUUGAUACUGCUGGUCUUGAGUCUAGUCGACGUAGGCGGAAUAUGACAUGUAGCGGUGAAAUGCAUAGAUAUGUCAUAGAACACCAAUUGCGAAGGCAGCUUACGAAACUACGACUGACGCUCAUGGACGAAAGCGUGGGUAGCGAACAGGAUUAGAUACCCUGGUAGUCCACGCCGUAGACGAUGAUCACUCGAUGUCAGCGAUAUACAGCUGGUGUCUUAGCGAAAGUUUUAAGUGAUCCACCUGGGGAGUACGUUCGCAAGAAUGAAACUCAAAGGAAUUGACGGGGGCCCGCACAAGCGGCGGAGCAUGUGGUUUAAUUCGAUGAUACGCGAGGAACCUUACCUGGGCUUAAAUGUAGAGUGCUUUAGAUGGAAACAUCUUUUUCUUCGGACGCUCUACAAGGUGCUGCAUGGCUGUCGUCAGCUCGUGCUGUGAGGUGUCGGGUUAAGUCCCAUAACGAGCGCAACCUCUAUCUUUAGUUGCUAACAGGUUAAGCUGAGGACCCUAGAGAGACUGCCGGUGCAAACCGUGAGGAAGGUGGGGAUGACGUCAAGUCAGCACGGCCCUUACGUCCAGGGCUACACACGUGCUACAAUGGCCGGUACAGAGGGCAGCUACAUAGCGAUAUGAUGCAAAUCUCUAAAGCCGGUCUCAGUUCGGAUCGGAGUCUGAGACUCGACUCCGUGAAGCUGGAAUCGCUAGUAAUCGCGUAUCAGCAAUGACGCGGUGAAUACGUUCCCGGGCCUUGUACACACCGCCCGUCAAGCCAUGGAAUCUGGGAGUGCCUGAAGUCGGUAACCGUAAGGAGCCGCCUAGGGUAAAACUGGUAACUAGGGCUAAGUCGUAACAAGGUAACC
rnacentral:rRNA from 1 species